UCAAUCAAAAAAGUAUUUUCU
rnacentral:miRNA from 1 species